AUAACUCUGGGUAGAAAUAGAACAAGAAAACGGAACCUCUUUCCUUAUUUGCUAGGUUAGACCAAACACUCGGGAAGCCCAGCACAUUAUAUUCCAGUGGUUACCAUAAGGACCGAGAAAAAUUAACCAUCAGUGCAAGAGUUGUCCGGUGUGAAAAUCAGUUAAAUAAAAUGGACCAGAAACUAGAUCAGGUAUUGUUUAUGAUAAAUUCUUUACUGAAAUCCAAGAAAGUGAACGAGUCCGCACAGGGGGAUGAAGUUUGAGGCAGGCCUAUGUCAUGAUGAUCAUGUGACCGUGAUUAACCAAUGAACUUAUAAAGUUUAAAAAGAACUCUUUGAACUGCAGUUUUGCUCCUGAGGUUGUGAUUUUUGAUUUUUUAUGUUCAUACCUGGCACAUAUGAGGAAUUUUUAUGUACGUUGUUAUAUUGCACAAGAUCCUUUUUAGCAAUCAAAGUGGUAAUGAAACAAAGUAGAAUCUCAGGAAAUGUAUGAGGUCUAGUUUAUUGAAUGCAUUGUGUACUGGUAAUUCGUCUCGUUUUAUACUUUCUCAGAUUCUUGUUUUGUUACUUUACGCAUUUUUCCAAGAAAGAAAUGAAAUGUUACGCCACAUAGAUUUUACCCCUUUGUAGUACAAAUAAAGAACAUUUCAUUAACUGCAAAAUAAUGCAUUUUUAUGAAAAUAUUAUUUCUUUCAAAAUACCGGUUUUCUUAUCAAGAGACCUUUUCCUGUACAGGACAAUCUCGAAUAAUGAAUGAUUUUUCUGUGAUUGAGUUUAGCUAUUGCACUUGUUUGUGAGUUGUAAAAAAGAGAGUGAGACUGAAAUGCGACAGCACAAAUGGAUUGAGGACAAAAGGUGAGGCAGCAAUUGUUAAAGGGCAACAAAUAAAGAUAUAAUCACCCUCCCAAUGUCUCUUAAUAAGAACGAGGGAGCAGGAGGACAAAAUCAGACCAUGCUGUGACGUAUAGACUGAUAAUAACACGAUAUAUUUCUUCCAUUGCGUAUACUUGUAUUUUGUCAAUCAUACGAAAAAAAAAAACAACAUUUUCCGGCAUUGUUCCUCGGGAUCGAUCUUUGUGAUACUAGUACCUUUAAGAUCAAAUCUAGUGAACGGGGUGUGAAUAUUUGAUGAAGAGCACUCAAAUUUUGAGCAGAUUUUUGGGGCGAUAUGAGAGACGGUUCUAAUGAGAGAAUAACGUUCUAUGUGUGAUCAACUGCAAUUUUAAAGAAGUUUUAUAUAUUUUCGUGGUUACGUUGUGUAUUGUUAAAUACCGUAAUAAAAAAUACACAUCCCUGAA